rnacentral:rRNA from 1 species
CUGGCCUACGGGGCGCAGCAGUGGGGGAUAUUGGACAAUGGGGGAAACCCUGAUCCAGCGACGCCGCGUGAGUGAAGAAGUAUUUCGGUAUGUAAAGCUCUGUCAGCAGGGAAGAAAGAAAUGACGGUACCUGACCAAGAAGCCCCGGCUAACUACGUGCCAGCAGCCGCGGUAAUACGUAGGGGGCAAGCGUUAUCCGGAAUUACUGGGUGUAAAGGGUGCGUAGACGGGAAUUUAAGUUAGUUGUGAAAUCCCUCGGCUUAACUGAGGAACUGCAACUAAAACUGAAUUUCUUGAGUGCGGGG